rnacentral:rRNA from 1 species
AUUGAACGCUGGCGGCAGGCCUAACACAUGCAAGUCGAACGGUAGCACAGAGAGCUUGCUCUCGGGUGACGAGUGGCGGACGGGUGAGUAAUGUCUGGGAAACUGCCCGAUGGAGGGGGAUAACUACUGGAAACGGUAGCUAAUACCGCAUAAUGUCGCAAGACCAAAGAGGGGGACCUUCGGGCCUCUUGCCAUCGGAUGUGCCCAGAUGGGAUUAGCUUGUUGGUGAGGUAAUGGCUCACCAAGGCGACGAUCCCUAGCUGGUCUGAGAGGAUGACCAGCCACACUGGAACUGAGACACGGUCCAGACUCCUACGGGAGGCAGCAGUGGGGAAUAUUGCUCAAUGGGCGCAAGCCUGAUGCAGCCAUGCCGCGUGUGUGAAGAAGGCCUUCGGGUUGUAAAGCACUUUCAGCGGGGAGGAAGGCAAUGCGGUUAAUAACCGUGUUGAUUGACGUUACCCGCAGAAGAAGCACCGGCUAACUCCGUG